rnacentral:rRNA from 1 species
AGCGAACGCUGGCGGCAGGCCUAACACAUGCAAGUCGAACGAACCUUUCGGGGUUAGUGGCGGACGGGUGAGUAACACGUGGGAACGUGCCUUUAGGUUCGGAAUCACUCAGGGAGACUUGUGCUAAUACCGAAUGUGCUCUUCGGGGGUAAGAUUACUCGCCUUUAGGGCGGCCCGCGUCUGAUUAGCUAGUUGGUUGAGGUAAUGGCUCACCAAGGCGACGAUCAGUAGCUGGUCUGAGAGGAUGAUCAGCCACAUUGGGACUGAGACACGGCCCAAACUCCUACGGGAGGCAGCAGUGGGGAAUCUUGCGCAAUGGGCGAAAGCCUGACGCAGCCAUGCCGCGUGAAUGAUGAAGGUCUUAGGAUUGUAAAAUUCUUUCACCGGUGACGAUAAUGACGGUACCCGGAGAAGAAGCCCCGGCUAACUUCGUG